CUCGGUUCGGAUCGGAGUCUGCAACCCGACUCCGUGAAGCUGGAUUCGCUAGUAAUCGCGCAUCAGCCAUGGCGCGGUGAAUACGUUCCCGGGCCUUGUACACACCGCCCGUCAAGCCAUGGAAGCCGGGGGUGCCUGAAGUGUGCAGCCGCAAGGAGCGCCCUAAGGUAAAACCGGUGACUGGGGCUAAGUCGUAACAAGGUACC
rnacentral:rRNA from 1 species